UACGUAGGGAGCAAGCGUUGUCCGGAAUCAUUGGGCGUAAAGCGCGCGUAGGUGGCCUCAUAAGUCCGCUGUGAAAGUCAAAGGCUCAACCUUUGAAAGCCGGUGGAUACUGUGGGACUAGAGUACGGAAGAGGCGAGUGGAAUUCCUGGUGUAGCGGUGGAAUGCGCAGAUAUCAGGAGGAACACCAAUAGCGAAGGCAGCUCGCUGGGACGUUACUGACACUGAGGCGCGAAAGCGUGGGGAGCGAACAGG
rnacentral:rRNA from 1 species